rnacentral:tRNA from 1 species
UCCCUGGUGCCUUAGAUGGUAAAGAAUCUGCCUGCAGUGUAGGAGACCUGGGUUUGAUCCCUCGUUGGGAAG